UGUGUGUGCAACAUUGACUGUUCUCAAACCAACUUUAAUCCCCUCUGUGCUUCUGAUGGGAAAUCUUAUGAUAAUGCAUGUCAAAUCAAAGAAGCGUCAUGUCAGAAACAGGAGAAAAUUGAAGUCAUGUCUCUGGGUCGAUGUCAAGAUAACACAACUACAACCACUAAAUCUGAAGAUGGGCAUUAUGCAAGAACAGAUUAUGCAGAGAAUGCUAACAAAUUAGAAGAAAGUGCCAGAGAACACCACAUACCUUGUCCAGAACACUACAACGGUUUCUGCAUGCAUGGCAAGUGUGAACACUCCAUCAAUAUGCAGGAGCCAUCUUGCAGAUGUGAUGCUGGUUAUACUGGUCAACACUGUGAAAAGAAGGACUACAGUGUUCUCUACGUUGUUCCUGGUCCUGUAAGAUUCCAGUACGUCUUGAUUGCAGCUGUGAUUGGAACAAUUCAGAUUGCUGUCAUCUGUGUGGUGGUCCUCUGUAUCACAAGGAAAUGUCCCAGAAGCAACAGAAUUCACAGACAGAAGCAAAAUACAGGGCACUACAGUUCAGACAACACAACAAGAGCAUCCACACGGUUAAUCUAGAGGGAGCAUGUUUCCCAGUGGCCGGACAACCGACAGCUUGGACUACACAAUACAGUAUUAGAGACAAAAGAAUAAGACGAGAUCUACACAUGUUGCCUUGCGUUUGUGGUAAUCUACGCCAAUGAAAACAUGUACUACAACUAUAUUUGAUUAUGUAUGGAUAUAUUUGAAAUAGUAUACAUUGUCUUGAUGUUUUUCUGUAAUGUAAAUAAACUAUUUAUAUCACAC
rnacentral:lncRNA from 1 species